UUCUUUACACAAACUGUCUCAUUUGAUCCUCUCUGCCUUGCCACGAGGCAGUUACUAGCAACAUCUCCAUUAGUUUUACAGAUGAGGAAGCUGAGGCAUAAGGAGGUGAAGCAGCAAAACCACACCAUCAGUAAAGGAAAGACCCGUCAUUAGCAACCAGAUAGUCUGGCUUCGAAGUCCAUGCUAUUAACUGCUGAGCUGCAGGUGACAAAAGUUCUAUCUCCAGUACACUCUGACAGAGUCUGAGUUGGUGCCAAGAUUGAUGUGCAUGAGACUGAAAGACCCUCUUAGUCCCCAAAUACCUCCUCGCAACUUGUCUCAGUCUCUGAAAUUUCUCCCAUGAGUCCUUCUUUUUUGCAAGGGAAGUUUUGGAGAAGCAAAGGUUUUUCCUGCAUGGUCUGCUUAGUCCCAGCAAGAAAAGAAGAUAGUUGGUGCCACUUAGAGUUGGAUUUAGAUCCUGAGCCAAACAGUAUUGACUGUGUGAGUUGCACAAAUGACAACCUCUCAUCUUCUAUUUCUGCAUGGACAAAGUGGGGUUAAUC
rnacentral:lncRNA from 1 species